rnacentral:rRNA from 1 species
AGAGUUUGAUCCUGGCUCAGAUUGAACGCUGGCGGAAUGCUUUACACAUGCAAGUCGAACGGCAGCAUAGGUGCUUGCACCUGAUGGCGAGUGGCGAACGGGUGAGUAAUACAUCGGAACGUGCCCAGUCGUGGGGGAUAACGUAGCGAAGGUUACGCUAAUACCGCAUACGAUCUACGGAUGAAAGCGGGGGACCGUAAGGCCUCGCGCGAUUGGAGCGGCCGAUGUCAGAUUAGGUAGUUGGUGGGGUAAAGGCCCACCAAGCCAACGAUCUGUAGCUGGUCUGAGAGGACGACCAGCCACACUGGGACUGAGACACGGCCCAGACUCCUACGGGAGGCAGCAGUGGGGAAUUUUGGACAAUGGGCGCAAGCCUGAUCCAGCCAUUCCGCGUGCAGGAUGAAGGCCUUCGGGUUGUAAACUGCUUUUGUACGGAACGAAAAGCUCUGGGUUAAUACCCCGGGGUCAUGACGGUACCGUAAGAAUAAGCACCGGCUAACUACGUGCCAGCAGCCGCGGUAAUACGUAGGGUGCAAGCGUUAAUCGGAAUUACUGGGCGUAAAGCGUGCGCAGGCGGUUUUGUAAGACAGAGGUGAAAUCCCCGGGCUCAACCUGGGAACUGCCUUUGUGACUGCAAAGCUGGAGUGCGGCAGAGGGGGAUGGAAUUCCGCGUGUAGCAGUGAAAUGCGUAGAUAUGCGGAGGAACACCGAUGGCGAAGGCAAUCCCCUGGGCCUGCACUGACGCUCAUGCACGAAAGCGUGGGGA